rnacentral:sRNA from 1 species
UCUAUCAUCAACACCUAAUUCAACAUGGAU